rnacentral:lncRNA from 1 species
GGCAAACUCCCUGGAGGCCACUGACAGCAUAUGGAAAGAGGGCAUCUGGGUACAUCACUCUCCUGUGCAACGGCUUCAAAGCCACAUGGGAACACUCCUUUCCUUCUGCACCUUCUCCUUUCCCUUCCCCCACUUUCACUCUCCCUUUUCCCAAGAUCUCAGUGGCUGGAAAUCCCUUUAUUCCUUUCCUCUCGGGCAAAUGUCUCAGGGCCCUUACUCCACAUACUUCCCCGCAGGCAAACUUUCUGUUGCUGGAUGCUGUACAUCAGCAGUGAAAUCCUAGGGUUCAGAGGGGAGCCUGGAGCAGAGGUCAGAGCAGCUGAGAAUGAGCAGGGUUUGGAAGCCAGCAGAAAAAGUGUGAAGCAGGAUACCCUUUUUACAAAUUCACUAUAGCAGUAGUUUUGCAUAUUAUUGAGCAAUAGCAGCCAGUCCACAGCCUGCAAAUGAAUUUCUUGGUUACUUUCUCAUUCCCUUUUUAGAAAAUACAAUGGUGUCUUUUUGGGCUUGGUAUACAGCUUGGAUGGAAUGAGAAAAUUUACUGCAAAAACAUUUAUGUUUGUUGAAGUAAAGUGAAAGCACAAAAGCAGAGGUGCUGAAUGAGAGCCUUUUUUCUAUUAGCAUCUUCCAACAAAUAUGAGGUGUUUUCAAGCUAACUUACCCAGUUCUUGUAAAAUUGAUUGUAAAAGGAGUCAUAUUUUAAAAGCACAUAGGAACAACUUCUUCCUUGUCAUCUAUUUCCACAAGCAGCUUAAAACACAAGCACUGCUAGCUUUCAUAGAAACUUAAUGACACUGAUUACAAAGAUUGCUUUUGUGUACAAGAGCUCCAACCUAUUU